rnacentral:rRNA from 1 species
GGCGAGUGAAGCGGCAACAGCUCAAAUUUGAAAGCUAGCCUUCGGGUUCGCAUUGUAAUUUGUAGAGGAUGAUUUGGGGAAGCCGCCUGUCUAAGUUCCUUGGAACAGGACGUCAUAGAGGGUGAGAAUCCCGUAUGUGACAGGAAAUGGCACCCUAUGUAAAUCUCCUUCGACGAGUCGAGUUGUUUGGGAAUGCAGCUCUAAAUGGGAGGUAAAUUUCUUCUAAAGCUAAAUAUUGGCGAGAGACCGAUAGCGCACAAGUAGAGUGAUCGAAAGAUGAAAAGCACUUUGGAAAGAGAGUUAAAAAGCACGUGAAAUUGUUGAAAGGGAAGCGCUUGCAAUCAGACUUGUUUAAACUGUUCGGCCGGUCUUCUGACCGGUUUACUCAGUUUGGACAGGCCAGCAUCAGUUUCGGCGGCCGGAUAAAGGCUCUGGGAAUGUGGCCUCCACUUCGGUGGAGGUGUUAUAGCCCAGGGUGUAAUACGGCCAGCCGGGACUGAGGUCCGCGCUUCGGCUAGGAUGCUGGCGUAAUGGUUGUAAGCGACCCGUCUUGAAACCACGG